GAGAAAGCCAUUAACAUUUAUUUAUUUAUUUUGUAGAACGAAAAAGGGGUCAGACACUAAGAAAAUCGAUGUCUAAGUUGAUUCUGCUAAGCUUAUCAUAACUAGCUAGCUAAAGUUACUUUUACGCUGCAAUGCUGGCAAUACGGACUUCACUUACAAGAUGGAGGUGAGGCUCGAGUGCAGGAGUCUGUUUGCCGUGGACAGAGGCUGGAUGAGGGACAGAAACUGUGAGCGGGUCUCUUGGUGCCCCAGGAUGGACACACACACGGCAAAGAAACCCUCUGGAUCCUCUCGACCCACCAGAACUUCCCUCAACCACCUUCUCACCGUGGCUUGGGCAUCAGCUCCUAAAGGAGGCAUCUUCAAGUGAAAGGCCACAGACCCUUGCCCACUGCCGCUGUCCACUGUCCUGCCAGAGAGUGCUGAUGGGCCAAGCAGUCCUGCCAGCAGCUGAGAACAGUCUCUAAUCUGAUAAAGAUUUUCAUUUACACUGCAAUCAAUAACCUGGGUCUAUCGGCAAUGUAACUAUUUAUACAAGCAUUCCUGGCUCUCCAUCGAUCAAGUGCGGGAAGCCAUCAUUUAACAAUGUGUGUGUGUGUG